rnacentral:lncRNA from 1 species
GUAAGAUAUAGAUUUUUAUAGUAUUGAAUUUAUUUGGGAUGAAAGGUUUUUUUAAAGGAGAUAAUAUUUUCAAAGGUUUUAAAAUACUUUUCUCUCUGAUUUUUCUUUUUUCCUGAAGGUUUUCUCUCCUUUUUGUGAGUGUUCGUUUGAUCUCGGCUUCUCCAUCCUUCCAGGAUGAGAAAGCUCCGGUUUUCUUCUCUGAGUUAUGCGGCUAUACUCUCCCACCGCCGAGCUGUCGUAGAUAGUUUCUUUUUUCUUUUAAAUUUUUCCUGACAAAUAUGUGCUUAGCCGCGAGAACUUUCUUUCUAUUUAUGUUGUGGUCUAUUUGGUGCUUUUUCUUCUACAUGUUAUAUUUUUUUUAUUAUUUAUUUUUAUACAGAUCCGGAAUGGUGGAGACCGUACUUAACUUUGAGACUUAUGGCUGUUGUAGGGCUGGAUCUUGCAGGUUCUAUUUUUUCGUUUACAUUAGACACUUCAGAGGACGUUAUGGUGCCACCUUUCAUCGGCCUCUCGGUCCUUUUGUAUCUAUAUGAGAUUGAGAUGGUCGAGCUCUAUAGAAAUUUGUCUGUGAUGUAUCCUGUUUGCUUUUAAUGCUAUUUUUUUUCUUUAUUUCAAAAAAAAAAUCAUAUGCACUUUUUUAACCCACUAAAUUAGUGGAAUAAAGAGGUUGUGAUCCCUUAACUUGCAUCACCUAAAAAAAAUUCCUUAACUCUUAACUAAAUUUUGCUAUUUUAAGAGGAUUCAAAAGAAAUAAUACACAAAUUUUCAAUAAAGAGGUUUGGAUACCUUACCUUCCAUUAUAUUAUCUUAAAUUAGCCUGAAAAAAUCCCAUUUGCUCUAUUCAAAUAAAAUCUGCAUUUAUAUACAUCCUCUGCAGCAGGCUGAAAUAACCCAUCUAUAGAAUUCAAAUGUAAUUAAGCCAAU